rnacentral:sRNA from 1 species
UUAUCGUGGUCAUUACAAAUAUUAUAGAU